rnacentral:rRNA from 1 species
CGUGCACCCGCUAUCUGCAGUCGAGCGAACUAACUAAGAGCUUGCUCCUUCGACGUUAGCGGCGGACGGGUGAGUAACACGUGUGCAACCUACCUUAUAGUUUGGGAUAACUCCGGGAAACCGGGGCUAAUACCGAAUAAUCUGUUUCACCUCAUGGUGAAACACUGAAAGACGGUUUCGGCUGUCGCUAUAGGAUGGGCCCGCGGCGCAUUAGCUAGUUGGUGAGGUAACGGCUCACCAAGGCGACGAUGCGUAGCCGACCUGAGAGGGUAAUCGGCCACACUGGGACUGAGACACGGCCCAGACUCCUACGGGAGGCAGCAGUAGGGAAUCUUCCACAAUGGGCGAAAGCCUGAUGGAGCAACGCCGCGUGAGUGAAGAAGGAUUUCGGUUCGUAAAACUCUGUUGUAAGGGAAGAACAAGUACAGUAGUAACUGGCUGUACCUUGACGGUACCUUAUUAGAAAGCCACGGCUAACUACGUGCCAGCCGCCGCAGGUAAUUACCAA